rnacentral:lncRNA from 1 species
GGAGUCAGUUGUUCCUGAGCCACUUCUGAUAGCAACAGCUGUCGAGUGGGGCUGAAAGACGAAGGCCUGGUUCCUCUGUGACUUGGAAGUUCUACCACCACAUCAGUGUCACAGUACCUAGGACUCUGUGGGACUUUGGGCACCAGAUCCCUUUCUCCAGGGGACAGAGAGAGGCGUCCACUGCUCCUACUGCAGCACAAGCAUGAACUGGCAGCCUGCCUGACUGGAGAUCUGUCUCAGGGACACCACCACCUUGUACUCCCUUCGAGGAUUAUUCUUCCAGGGUUUUGAACUGAGAAGUGGGACAGGGAAAAGGAAGAGUGUCAUACUAACAGGCCAUUGUCAUCACCUCUCUCUCGGUUCCAUCUCUUGGCUCUUCCGGAAAGCAGGCCUGCUAAACUAUAAUGAAACCCUAGGAUGUUACUAGAUAACUCACAUUUUCCUAGCAUUGUAUGUUCCUUUAUAACCUCAGAGAUGUAUCUACUCCUAGCUGUGUACUGAGGCAAGUUGCUUAACCACAAGUAAAAUGCGG